rnacentral:rRNA from 1 species
UACGUAGGGUGCAAGCGUUAAUCGGAAUUACUGGGCGUAAAGCGUGCGCAGGCGGUUUUGUAAGUCUGUCGUGAAAGCCCCGGGCUCAACCUGGGAAUUGCAUUUGAAACUGGGGAACUAGAGUGUGUGAGAGGGGGGUAGAAUUCCAAGUGUAGCGGUGAAAUGCGUAGAGAUGUGGAGGAACACCGAUGGCGAAGGCAGCCCCCUGGGUCAAGAUUGACGCUCAUGCACGAAAGCGUGGGGAGCAAACAGG